GAUGAACGCUGACAGAAUGCUUAACACAUGCAAGUCGAUGGGGAAGUGGUGCUUGCACCAUGGCAACCAUGGCGGACGGGUGAGUAACGCGUAAGGGACUUACCUGCAGGACUGGGAUAACAGGGGGAAGCUCCUGACAAGACCGGAUAAUGUCAUGGAGCUGCAUGGCUUUAUGAUGAAAGGAGACGCCUGCGGAGAGCCUUGCGUCCUAUUAGCUAGUUGGUGAGGUAAUGGCUCACCAAGGCGAAGAUAGGUAGCCGGCCUGAGAGGGUGGACGGCCACAAGGGGACUGAGAUACGGCCCUUACUCCUACGGGAGGCAGCAGUGGGGAAUAUUGGACAAUGGGGGCAACCCUGAUCCAGCAAUUCUGUGUGCACGAAGAAGGUUUUCGGAUUGUAAAGUGCUUUCAGCAGGGAAGAAGUAAGUGACGGUACCUGCAGAAGAAGCGACGGCUAAAUACGUG
rnacentral:rRNA from 1 species